GUGGAUUAGAUACCCGGGUAGUCCCGGCCGUAAACGAUGGAUACUAGGUGUUGCGGGUAUCGACCCCUGCAGUGCCGUAGCUAACGCGAUAAGUAUCCCGCCUGGGGAGUACGCACGCAAGUGUGAAACUCAAAGGAAUUGACGGGGACCCGCACAAGCGGUGGAACAUGUGGUUUAAUUCGAAGCAACGCGAAAAACCUUACCAGGGCUUGACAUCUAACAAACUUCUGUGAAAGCAGAAGGUGCUCGUCGGAGAAUGUUAAGACAGGUGGUGCACGUUCGUCGUCAACU
rnacentral:rRNA from 1 species